UACAGAGGUCUCAAGCGUUGUUCGGAUUCAUUGGGCGUAAAGGGUGCGUAGGCGGCGCGGUAAGUCGGGUGUGAAAUCUUGGAGCUUAACUCCGAAACUGCAUUCGAUACUGCCGUGCUUGAGGACUGGAGAGGAGACUGGAAUUUACGGUGUAGCGGUGAAAUGCGCAGAUAUCGGGAGGAACACCUAUGGCGAAGGCAGCUUGCUGGGACGGUACUGACGCUGAGACGCGAAAGCGUGGGGAGCAAACAGG
rnacentral:rRNA from 1 species